UAUAUGUAAGUGUAUGGGCACUUAGACUUUUGAAGUCUUAAAGGCAAAGUUUGAUUCUUUGACAUAUAA
rnacentral:tRNA from 1 species